UACGGAGGGUGCAAACGUUGCUCGGAAUCAUUGGGCGUAAAGCGCACGUAGGUGGCCUGUUAAGUCGGGUGUGAAAUCCCUGGGCUCAACCCAGGAAGUGCACUCGAAACUGGCAGGCUUGAGUACUGAAGAGGGUCGCGGAAUUCCCGGUGUAGAGGUGAAAUUCGUAGAUAUCGGGAGGAACACCAGUGGCGAAGGCGGCGACCUGGGCCAAUAUUGACGCUGAGGUGCGAAAGCGUGGGGAGCAAACAGG
rnacentral:rRNA from 1 species